UAUGCAGACACUAAAGUUCUGCAGCCAAAUUCUCAGAAACCUUCCUCUGCAAUGUAGGAUCAGGAUUUUGGUUUGAAUUGAUUUUUUUUUUUAACGUGCUGAGCAGAUGCUACCCUGUAAGAAGAGGAAACAGAAGCAAAAACUGAAAAACAGUUGCUAAAACCAAUGAACAGCUGCAGAGAGUGGAGACCCGGGAAAGCAAACAAAUGAAUACUGCNAAGGAUCCCCAAAGGAGGUGUAAGGAUCCGGGACUCUAGUGUCUGCCAGAAGCUUCAGCCACCUUCACAGGUUAGAGUUCGCCGUCCAUUGCGGAGGUGAAGACCGGAUGGGAGCUGCUGGAUUGACCUUGAUGUGCCCUGUCCUUGUGUGGAUGAAGGACCUACAUCUCAGGGAUGGCCAGUAGUAGAUGUAACACCUGUCCGGGAAUGGGCUAAAUAACCUACAUUGAGAGGUAAGUAAAAUCAUGGCCACAUGUAGACAUCACAGGAACUGGUGGGGAUUGACCCAGGG
rnacentral:lncRNA from 1 species